AGGAGUGUAGCUCAGUUUGGUAGAGCAGCGGUCUCCAAAACCGCCGGUCAGGGGUUCGAAUCCUCUCACUCCUGCCA
rnacentral:tRNA from 1 species